AGUGAACGCUGGCGGUAGGCCUAACACAUGCAAGUCGAACGGCAGCACAGUAAGAUCUUGCUCUUACGGGUGGCGAGUGGCGGACGGGUGAGGAAUACAUCGGAAUCUACUUUUUCGUGGGUGAUAACGUAGGGAAACUUACGCUAAUACCGCAUACGACCUACGGGUGAAAUCAUGGGAUCUUCUCACCUUUCGCGUUUGUAUUAGCUGAUGUCGGAUUAGCUUGUUGGCUGGGUAAACGCCCACCAAGGCGACGAUCCGUAGCUGGUCUGACAGGAUGAUCAGCCACACUGGAACUGAGACACGGUCCAGACUCCUACGGGAGGCAGCAGUGGGGAAUAUUGGACAAUGGGCGAAAGCCUGAUCCAGCCAUACCGCGUGGGUGAAGAAGGACUUCGGGUUGUAAAGCCCUUUUGUUGGGAAAGAAAAGCAGCAGGUUAAUACCCCGCUGUUCUGACGGUACCCAAAGAAUAAGCACCGGCUAACUUCGUG
rnacentral:rRNA from 1 species